rnacentral:rRNA from 1 species
GACGAACGCUGGCGGCGCGCCUAAUACAUGCAAGUUGAGCGCUGAAGGUUGGUACUUGUACCAACUGGAUGAGCAGCGAACGGGUGAGUAACGCGUGGGGAAUCUGCCUUUGAGCGGGGGACAACAUUUGGAAACGAAUGCUAAUACCGCAUAAAAACUUUAAACACAAGUUUUAAGUUUGAAAGAUGCAAUUGCAUCACUCAAAGAUGAUCCCGCGUUGUAUUAGCUAGUUGGUGAGGUAAAGGCUCACCAAGGCGAUGAUACAUAGCCGACCUGAGAGGGUGGUCGGCCACAUUGGGACUGAGACACGGCCCAAACUCCUACGGGAGGCAGCAGUAGGGAAUCUUCGGCAAUGGACGAAAGUCUGACCGAGCAACGCCGCGUGAGUGAAGAAGGUUUUCGGAUCGUAAAACUCUGUUGGUAGAGAAGAACGUUGGUGAGAGUGGAAAGCUCAUCAAGUGACGGUAACUACCCAGAAAGGGACGGCUAACUACGUG